rnacentral:lncRNA from 1 species
CAGCCAUCCACCUGUCCUGCUCGGGAAACGAGAGGAGAAACUCGUCUGGUGUGGUGUGAAGUGGACUGCUGCUGUCGGAGAGAGGAUUUUCACACACCUCGUGGAGAGCCUGGACCUUGAAUGCACCACGGAGAUCCGCCAUUUUCCAUCGGCGUGGAAGUGAGGGGAGGAGAACUCCCUGAAAUACAGAGAAGGAUAAUCUACUUGAGAAGAACCCAUUGGUCAUGAAGUUACUACAAGCAUCUGAGCAACUACGGAUGGGACAAUAUUGAAAGUUCAAGAGACGGGAUGAUAUCCGAUGCUGGGCUCACGAUUAUAUUAAGGGACGAUAUUUUUAGAAAGAAAAAAAAAAAGGAC